UUGGAAGUUUUGACAAGAGAUAAGGCAAAGCUGGUCCAUUAAGUAUGUGGUACCAAAUCUUGGAAUCGCCUAGGCUCAUUGCCUACGCUGCCAUAAUACUGUUUUCCAUCAUUGUUUUUGGUUGCGUAGCUGAUGAAGGUUUCGCUAAUAGUGUGUGCAUUGUGAAUAAAAGUGGUGCUUGUAACUAUAACAUCAUUUUCGGAAUUUUUUUCUUUUAUUAUCAGUCUUGCACUUUUGGUUACAUAUUUAACAGGAUUUAUCGAAGAAGCUUAUAAGAGAAGGCUAUUGUUAUUCGAGCUGGUCAUAGGCAUAAUAUUUUCAUUAAUCUUUUUUGUUGGUUUUUGCUAUACAACUGAUCAAUGGAGAAAAACUGAUAUAGUACUUUCGAUAAGAGCCAUCAAUAAUAUACAGGCUGCCAUCGCGUUUUCCUUCUUUCUUUUCUUAGCGUGGAUUAUCCCUUGUUACUACUCCUACAUAGAAUAUAGGAGAGAAGGAGCUUCUUAUGGUUAUGAUUACGGCGAUCUUAAUGGCUAUGAUGACUCUAUUUCUUACCAGAAUUCUGGCAAUGAAUAGGGAAAAUUACA